CCCUCCAAGGAGCGUUGCAGCGAAACCAAGAUUUCGUCAGGCUUGGAAUGUGUUUGAGACCGCCGCAACGACGCUCACCUGCU
rnacentral:ncRNA from 2 species